GCGGUCGUAGCUCAAUUGGUUAGAGCGUCUCGCUGUGGCCGAGAAGGUUGCCGGUUCGAGCCCGGUCGAUCGCC
rnacentral:tRNA from 1 species